AUGAGUCAACCCUGCCGUCUGCAGCGCUGCAUUCAGGCUGCCCAGGAGGAGACACCUGCCGGUACCAAAAGAGACUCCCUCUCGCUUUUCCCUGCAGCCGUCCUCCUACAGCUGGUAGGUAGAUCUGUCCUGAUUUGUUUGUUCUUUGGUGCAUACCUUUGUGUGUGCCUCUGUUAAAGUGUUUGGUUUGCACAGGCCCAGAGUACCAGGAGGUCUGCAAAGCUCUGUGGGACCUCCCGCUGAAUUGCUGUCUGCUGCUCCGCCAGCCUUUGUGUUGCUUAGUCGCAGGAAUUUUAUUCUGCCUUCCCGAGCAGCACUGGAAACACUGACUGGUAUCAGGUAAUACCUGUCCCCCUGGAGCCCUACAACAAACAGCCUUUUUGGAUGCUAAUUCCCC
rnacentral:lncRNA from 1 species